ACCGCGGUAGCCCAGUUGGUAGGGACGUCGGCAGUAUAGAUACUGAAAGUCGUAGCUUGAAAUCCUGUCUGCGGUG